ACUUUUAGAGAUAUUAGCAUUUUAUCACUGGGUUUGAUAGCAGAGCUGAAGCUGAAAUUACUGGGUGGUACUGCUCCUCAUGUUACAUUUCCCAGGAGAAUAGGCCUGAAAUAGCCAUGUAGUGGGCAACUAAAGAUACUGUUGUGCCAGCCGGUUUAAGAACUCUAAUGAGGCAAAAUUAUUUCCCUGGAAGUUGCUCUAAUUCCUGGCUGUUUCUCAAUGGUGUAGACAUAAACACAUUAAAAACCAAAAUGAGUCUAUAAGGGCGUAAGGAAUGCUGAAGUCAGGACAGGAUGUUCUCCAGGAUGAAUUAACUGUUCACCAUUGAGAACAUUGCCUUGACAGGCCUUGUUCUCCAGCCCCUCAGCCCAAAAGGGAAAAAACCUCCCAAUGAGUUUGUCAGAGACAUGAUUAACCUGUGUCUGCCUCUGUCAUCUCUUCGGGUUCCCUCAGAUGUACUUGCAGGCCUGGUGCAUCUGCCACCUUUCAAAGCUCAACAUACGAUUCUCUGGUACUAUGAUUAUUAUUACUGCUCCAGCACCCCUCUUUGUGAGCUCUCCAAGUCAUACCAGUCCAAACGAGCUGGAGCUAACAGUUGUAACAGAGAUUGAUUCUCAUUUAAAGUAGGCACGUUUUCUUGUCAGUGUGUUUGGAGUCAGGUGUGUUUGCACAUUAGUCUGCUCGUAAUUUUUUCACCACUAAAUAGCGGUGGAGCGCAAGGAUAUAGAUAGUAGAAAACCACUGUAAGAUUAAACUCCACCUUGUGCAGGAAGAAAAAUAACCUGCACAGGUAAAAUGGGAGGUAAAAUUGCUUAGUCAGAAUGUGGGAGGUUACUGAGACUGUGGCUGUGACUGGGAGUCAUGGUUUGGUCUCUCAUUUGCUCCUGCAAAAGUACAACCCUCCUUUACCUCUCAUCAACCACUGGUGGUAAAUCUGUAAUCUAACCAGUAAUUAGUGUUUUUGUUAAAUCUUGCUUGGCUCUAAUGUUCUUCUACUGUUCUGUAGGCUGUAGCUUAGGGAUCCUUUAUAUCACAGUGUUUUAUUUAACUUGCCAUGGGGGAUUACAACAAACAGUCUGAUGCAGUGCUUAAUAUUACAGUGAAAUAGACGUUAUGUGGUCAGAUUGAUGAAAAGGAUAAUUCAUUAUUUAUCUGCCUUUGCAUGUUAUAAAGUACAGUGUUAAUUUACUUUAUAAAUAUUAGAUAUACUCAUCUGUGUAAUAGGCUUCUAUAAACACUGACAAUAGGAAAUAGUUAGAAAAAGAUUAAAUUAAAAGUAGCUGUGUAUUGGAAAUUCUAUUUCUUUGUCUGCUCUAGGAAAAUAAAAAUCUGAACAGACUCAUAAUGAGCUGCAUACCAAUUUUCUUAACUUAUGUAUGUUCAAAAAACAGCUUCAGUGGACUGUGUUUAACCAGAAGAAUAAAACCCAAUUCCUAGCUCUUUCUCUAAGUUGGAAGUGCUGCUUUCUGUUACUUAUACUUCUGUUUUAGGAGAAUAUCAUCCUUAAGGAAAUGUAACUCCCAUCAGAUUGAGGUGCUUAGCAAUAAGGGAUUCCAAGGAUGAAGGAUUAAACAGAAUACUGAUUAUUGCCCUAAGAUGGUUUGUUCUUAAGUACUUGGUAUAAUAUAAAUUCCUUUGAUUGUAAUUUUAGUAAGAUUUCUUCAGAGAUCAAAGCAUCAAAGAAGUUGCUAAAUUUCUAAGGCUUUCACAUACAUCAUCAAAUACAUGUAGCUAUUUUCUUGCUGCUUGAAUUUUCAUUUUGGUUGUGACAGUAAUAUACAAAUAAGACCUGACACUGAAAAGCCAAUUAAAUCAGGAGUUAGUUUUGUCAGUUGUGUGUAGACUGUAUAGAAUUAAGAGUUAUACAGAAUUCCAUUACUCAUUUUAUAGGCAAAUUGAUUUUUUCUUUCUCUCUCUUUUUUAUUUUUUUUUUUUUUAAUAUGUAAGGUGGAGUUUAAACAGUCAUAAGGUGAUAUCUUUGUAUCUUCUUAAGUGUUUUUCAAUACCAUUUUAAGCAAUAGUUGUAGAAGCAAUCCUAGAGAGGCAGGAAGCCCGGAGAGCGGAGAACAAAUGCACAGAAUGUGCAUCAUACGUGAUGUGAUGUGUCUAGGCCCAAAUAAUCUUCUGCCACUGAAGUAAUAUUUCUAAAAAUACCCAGAAGAAAGCAUGUUCUUGGGUAAGAGAAAGAUGCACUGAGAUUUUUAAAAGAAUUAACCUUUCUGUCUCAACAAAAGUUCCAGCCAUGCUGCAUCUAUCCCUCGGAGAGCCUGGACCUGUUGGCUUUGUGUCUUUCUCUCAUGCUGUUUUGCAAAGGUACUUCUGUGAUGGUGGUCCUGUACAGCCAUACAGGAUCCUGUACAGCCAUACGGGAGGUGAGCAGCGUUCUCUGCACCGUGCCAAGGAUGCACCAUCAGAGCCUGUGGAAGAUGCUGCCCAACUGACCUCGGGGCCAGUUUUAUCUUUCGCAAGUACCGUAGGAUCCACAUCCCUACUCAGCUGGAGAAAGCAUUCCUUAGCACAGUAGAGACUGCUGAUUCUUCAGGGCAGGUUUUGAAUGGCCUGGGUCAAAGAAGAUUAGCUGGGCCUCAGCUUGUCUGCAGUUCAGGUACAAGAGAGAUUUUCAUUGAAGCAAACACUUCUGUGGCUGUGUUGGUCCUUUUUGCAUUCACAUCGCUACAACAGCCCUUGCCACCUUAAUUUCCUACUGUAAACAGCAGUGAUAAUUGAAUUAAUACAGAAGUUAUUGGCUGAUUAAUAAAUAGUAGCAAGAAGUGCAUAUAGUUAAGGAAAAUAAAGUUAGAAUUAAUGAAACCUGAAACAAUGAUGUUUAAAGUCUUACAAUGCCAGGAAAGAGCAAAUGGAUUGGGUUUUUUGUUGUUGGUUUGGUUUGAUUUCCUGCUCUGCUGUGUAAAAAUGGUUCACCCUGUUCUUCAGAUAAACUAUAAUCUCAGAUUACUUCAUCAUUUAUAUAGUUUGUUUAGCGUCCUAUUUUUUUUCCAAAUGUUUGAUCUUAUUAGAUUCAUGGGCUGUUUUUCUUCUCCGCUGCUAAGAAUCAGACAUCUCUUUGCUUCCAGAUAUAAAUGCUGAAUGCUCAACUCUGAGAUAAGUUAUGAUCUUUUUCAUAAUCUAUAUGCAAUGAAACAAUUCAUCCCAAUGCUUGAAACAAUCCACUUUGCUCAAAGACUGAGCGUAAUCCUUCUCUGUGUGGUCUUCUGUAUGGUUUCUGUUUCUUAGAAAAUAUAUUUAUAAAUAUAUGUAAUGUACGCUGUAUAAAAAUUUUGGAGACAUAAGAUUUCAUCAUAUGUGCAAUUAAAGUAAGAAAAGAUACAUGAAUGCUGCCAGUCUGGGGAAAAUAAACAAAGAUUUAGUAGCAAUUUAGCUCUCUAGUUUCUUUAAAGAACCUGGCAGAUUUGUCAUGUAUAGUUCUUAGCAAGCCAUCUUUGGGUCUGUAGCUUUUUGCUUUUGUAACAUUUUUUCACAUUGACUUGUCAAUCAAAGCUGAGAAAAUGCAUCUGCUGUCUAUUGGGGGGCUCUUUUGUUACCAAGAAAAAUAAAAAUCAGCAAAGAGCCCUCUUUGCAAAGGAGUGUAUCACGCAGCUGUGCAUCGCGUUAUGGUAACAUAUAGCAGACUAUGUAGUAAUGGGGAUGUUUCACUGGGAAGUGUUUCUCAUGAUAAAAGCUAUAGUUCUCGGUCAAUUAAACAGGGGGUGGUUGGUGAUUGCUUAGGAGCAUUUCUCUGUCCAGGCUUCCAUUAGGUGGAGUAAAAUUCACAAGAAAUAUAUUCAAAUAGCAGGCUGAGGCAUCUGAAAUCUGUCAAAAUCCUAUUCUGGUAUUAGGUUUUUGCAAACUGCUGUUGCUUUGAGACGAAUAAUUUGUGCCCCUUCCUCAUUUCUGACCUGCACAUCCCAGGUGAUGCUGCUGGGGGAUGUGCAGGGGAAGGGACAGGGGUGGGCUCCUGCUGUAAAAUACAGACAUAUGGCCAUGAAGGAAGAACAACACGGAUUCCGUUUGUCUGCGUACCUUUGGGGGUAGAUAGAAAAGCAGACUGGUUAAUACUCAAGUUGUUAGGCCGUUCACCUGGAGAUGUGGGACCUCCCCGUGCAAGGCCUGCCAUUUCGGGUCACUGGGCUGUGUGCAGUGGUUUUCUUCUCUCACACUCCCUUGUGUUUUAAAAAGAAAAGGACUUUGGAAGCUCUAACCUUAAUUCUGCCGUGGCAUUGAGACUCCUCUCAAAAUGAGAAGUUUGGUCAUGAAUCAGAACAGGAGAGCUCAUUCUUGUCCAGUCCCACUGAAAAAAAACAUCACUGCAGCAUUGUUUUAUGGAAAGCAUAUGUUAAUGUUGUAAUUUAUUGCUAAUUGAGGUAUAUAUCAUCUCUGCCUGAAAUCAGUGUACUUUUGCUGGCCUGAGGGCUGCAGGUUGCUUGUUUGGUUUUGUUAGAUAUAGUGACUUGAGAUAUAAUUAAAUUAUUUUAAUUAGAAUUGAUAAAUGACUUUUUAGUAUUAAAAACAGCGUCAAGUUUUCAAUAGAAACAGAAAUGAUGUGAAAUAGCGGCUCAACUAAACCAAAAUGUAGCAUUUUAAAAUAAGACGAAUCUGAAUCUCAAAGUAAAUUCAGCAUAUAUUACUAUAUGCUAGCAAAUAUAUAAUGCUAAAGUGCCUGUUUAUUAUUCAUGUGUUGUGUCUUAGAGUAUGCUGUGCUAUUUGUCUUGCAAGCAUUUUCAGAAAUUAUUUGCCCAGAUGGGCCAUUGUAUGUGUUUUGUUUUGCUCAUUGUGGGAAAUUAGUCUUAAUAAAUCAAAAUCACAUAUUGAGUCACAGUAGUGACUUGAGCCAAGUGGGGGAGAGGGAGGGGAAGAGCUACUGUUUCAAUCUAUAACUGAGCCAAAACAUUUCACAUAUGGAAAAGCAGAGUUUGAAAAGAAGAGUCUUAUUUAAAAAACAAAAAAAAACCCAAAAAAACAACAAAACAAAA